GCUCCGUUGGUGUAGUCCGGCCAAUUAUGUCGGCCUUUCGAGCCGACGACCGGGGUUCGAAUCCCUGACGGAGCA
rnacentral:tRNA from 1 species